AGACACCUACCCUGGCCGGAAGACACGAAGAUCCAGAAAAAGGCCAUCCGGGUACAACGUAGCAGUUACAUCGGACUGUGACACUUACUGUUUACAGGAGACUAUAAAACUUUGCCCAGUCGUCACUUGGGGCCCGCCUGCACCCAGGCCGUCAUUAAAACAGCAUGUUGCUCCACACCGCCUCGUGUUGUCUGUUGGUGUGCUCUCAGGGUGGAAACGAUACAAGAACGUUACACUUACAGGCUUUAGUUUAUAUUAUUCUCAUAGAAGACUUCCUCAUAAUCCAAUUUAAAAAAUGAGAGUUUCCCUGCACAAGCUCUUGCUUUGCCUGAUGCCAUCCAUGUAAGACGUGACUUGCUCCUCCUUGCCUUCUACCAUGAUUGUGAGACUUCCCCAGCCACGUGGAACUGUAAGUCCCAUUAAACCGCUUUCUUUUGUAAA